UACGGGGGGAGCAAGCGUUGUUCGGAUUUACUGGGCGUAAAGGGCGCGUAGGCGGCGUGACAAGUCACUUGUGAAAUCUCCGGGCUUAACUCGGAACGGUCAAGUGAUACUGUCGUGCUAGAGUACAGAAGGGGCAACUGGAAUUCUCGGUGUAGCGGUGAAAUGCGUAGAUAUCGAGAGGAACACCUGCGGCGAAGGCGGGUUGCUGGGCUGAUACUGACGCUGAGGCGCGAAAGCUAGGGUAGCAAACGGG
rnacentral:rRNA from 1 species